GAAGGUCUGUAAAAUUUUAAUUUACAUCUACUAACUGCAACUUAGAUACUUUAAUUAAGCUAAAACCUC
rnacentral:tRNA from 1 species